rnacentral:lncRNA from 1 species
UCUACCGAUCUGGAGUCUAACAUGUGCGCGAGUCAAUGGGUUUCCCGAAAACCAAUGGCGCAAUGAAACGUGAAGGCCCGCUCGUGGGCUGCGUUGCGAUCUCGGACCGCACAGGGGUCCGACAAAGGGCGCAGCAACGGCCCGUCCCAGGCGCUCACUCGUCGCCGGGGCAGAGCGAGAGCGCACACGUUCGCACCCGAAACAUGGUGAACUAUGCCCGGGCAGGACGAGGCCAGAGGAAACUCUGGUGGAGGUCGGAAGCGAUUCUGACGUGCAAAUCGAAAGUCCGACCUGGGUAUAGGGGCGAAAGACCAAUCGAACCGUCUAGUAGCUGGUUCCCUCCGAAGUUUCCCUCAGGAUAGCUGGCGCUCGAUGGGAGAGCAGUCACACCUGGUAAAGCGAAUGAUUAGAGGCAUUGGGGUCGAAACGUCCUCAACCUAUUCUCAAACUU